ACUCCUACGGGAGGCAGCAGUGGGGAAUAUUGCACAAUGGGGGAAACCCUGAUGCAGCCAUGCCGCGUGUGUGAAGAAGGCCUUCGGGUUGUAAAGCACUUUCAGUAGGGAGGAAGGUAGUGUAGUUAACACCUGCAUUAUUUGACGUUACCUACAGAAGAAGCACCGGCUAACUCCGUGCCAGCAGCCGCGGUAAUACGGAGGGUGCGAGCGUUAUCCGGAUUUAUUGGGUUUAAAGGGUCCGUAGGCGGGUUAAUAAGUCAGUGGUGAAAUCCCAUCGCUUAACGAUGGAACUGCCAUUGAUACUGUUAGUCUUGAAUGAGGGUGCAGUGGUUGGAAUGUGUAGUGUAGCGGUGAAAUGCAUAGAUAUUACACAGAACACCGAUUGCGAAGGCAGAUCACUAACCCUAAAUUGACGCUGAGGGACGAAAGCGUGGGGGAGCAAACAGGAUUAGAUACCCUGGUAGCGACUGAU
rnacentral:rRNA from 1 species